rnacentral:rRNA from 1 species
ACGUAGGUGGCAAGCGUUGUCCGGAAUUAUUGGGCGUAAAGGGCGCGCAGGCGGCUUCUUAAGUCUGUCUUAAAAGUGCGGGGCUUAACCCCGUGAUGGGAUGGAAACUGGGAAGCUCAGAGUAUCGGAGAGGAAAGCGGAAUUCCUAGUGUAGCGGUGAAAUGCGUAGAUAUUAGGAGGAACACCAGUGGCGAAAGCGGCUUUCUGGACGAAAACUGACGCUGAGGCGCGAAAGCCAGGGGAGCGAACGG